CCGUCUUGAAACACGGAC
rnacentral:ncRNA from 2 species